UGGACAUGUUUGUCUGAGAGCAGAAAGAAGUCGACAAAUUAUCAUGAUCAGACUGACAGACAGCGGGAGCGGAGAUAGUUGACGUUGCCACGGGUCCAGUAACUGUUGAUGUCCUUCUAGAUUUGGUGUGACGAUGGCAGUGCAAAUAAUAUCACUUGGAUUAUACAUUUUAUAGUGUACUAAAUAUAUAGAAAGCGAGCCAUAUUA